CUUCGCGUCUACUUUGGUCCGUGGGGACCAGUAGAAAUUUUUAAAAUUUUUGUCAGUACUACAAAAAAAAAUCUCCACAAUUAUCCAAGGAGUGCCCUAAACACGCAGUGGGGAAGAGACCUGCCGUAUCCUCAUAAGGCUCUGAGUUCAAAUCUUAGCCUCGGCAUGGUGCUCUACCCAACUUUUUCUUUUUUUAGUACUUCGAAAAAAUUAACAUCUAUAGUAAAUCCAAAAAUCUCAUCCAUUAUUCUCUAAGAGACCAACAUACAAAAUUGACGAAAAACAAAGAAAAACACAAAGUCACGGUCUCACAACAUGUAAUUAAACGGGCUACACGUGUUUCGCUCUAGUUAGAGCAUCAUCAGGCCUUUAGAAGCCAUCCACACACUUAUGCUGUAACUGAUGAUGCUCUAACUAGAGCGAAACACGUGUAGCCCGUUUAAUUACAUGUUGUGAGACCGUAACUAUGUGUUUUUCUUUGUUUCUCGUCAAUCUAUAGUAAAUACAGAGAGAAAAGGGAAGGUCUUAUUAUAUAUUAUAAUCAGAAAUAAAUUUCAUGGACAUAUUACUUACUUAUUUCUGGGUAUCAUGCUUCAGAGAACCAUGAUGUAUUACAAUACGCUCCGCUCUUUAAUUUUAGUUUAUUUAUAUUCUCAAAACUUGCAUAUAUCAAAAUUAUGUCAGGGUUCUAAAAUGAAUCGGUAAUAAAAUCGUAAACCAGAUCAACAUUGGAAAUAAUUUAAAAAAUUUGCUUUGGUCCGAUUGAAAAAAGUACUAUACUACCAAAUAGUUACAUCUAUUCUGUAGCAAUAAAAGUUAUAAAAUUCUGUCUAUUAUUAAUUUUAAUAUUAUAAAGUGUAUCGUUUAACUCUUAGCCAUUAUUUAUAAUUUAAUUGUUAAUUAUGCCUAAAAAAACGAAUUAACAACUUUGGUAUUGUUUGGAAGGUAAACAGCUUAAUUCCUUUAUGUAAAGCCACCUUAACAUGUUUUUGCAUAAUUCUGACUCACGUUGGUUGCUAUCGGGCUUAAGCCAUAAAAAUCGAAGAAAAAAAGAAGAAGACGAAGAGACUUUCACUUGUCAUUUCAAUGUCACUUUCCGGCCCACAAGCAUAAACGCCACCGGCAACGGAAGUUCCCAAAAUCCAAACAAAUGUUGGAAGAUAUUUUUAAGUCUCCGCAUCUUUCUUACUUUCCUAUAUGAAAAUAAAAUGUAAGUAUCACAAUUACACACAUACAAGUUUUUUUUUUAAUUCAGUUUCAUAAUUACCAAUUUUUAGUGAAUAAUCCUGAAAUUUAUGAAAAUACAUACAUUUUAAGGUUAUGUCAUAAUGUUUUGAUUGUUAUAUUUGAUUUUGUUUUUGUUAUUUUAGUGGACUACACCAACAAAGGUUAUGUGUUUUGCACCAGAUUGAAAGCAUCAUAGCGAAAAACGGACCUGUCAUAUCUUUAAAUUUUCAAAAAAGCCCCUGGAAAAAGAAAAAUGAAUAUCUUUGCCAAUGAAUAGGUACUAAGGCAAAUGGAUAAAAAACCUUCAGUCCAUGCAUUGGUAUGUAAUUGUUGACAAAAAUACAAUGAAUGGCCUCACUACUUUUCCACAUGCAAAGAGGUUAACCAAGGAGAAAUUAAAGAAAUUGUCAAAAACCUAGGUAAAUACAGAAUUGCUUAGUACAAACAUAUCUAUACCCAGUACAAGUUCGUCCACUUCUUUGAAGCAUGGUACUUCAAACAGAGACACUGUCAACAAUUUUGUAGAAGGUGAGCCGGUGUCAAAUUCCAGUAAGGGACAUGAUUUCAAUUUUGCACCAACAGCAGAGCUAAAAUUCAUUUUGUCGCAAAAAACUGGAGGAUGUGAAAGAAAAAAGUGCAGAAGUUAAAAUUAAGUUUUUCAUAUGAGCACAUAAAAAAUAAUCAUGACAAAGUUCAGUUGUAUACAGGUUUGACAUGUAAUAAAUAUUUUUGUAAUCUUAUUAAGUUAAUUAGUUUUAUAUAUUAUUUAAAUAAUAAUUGUAUACUUCACAUAGAAUAUGCAGAAAUUAUAUGUACAUAUAUAAAUUUUUUUAUUAAGAUAAGGACAACAUGUAUUAAAGCAUAACACAUAAUAUAAACACACACGUAAUAUCUUCAUUAAAAAUUCUGAUUGUAUGUUAUGUAGCAUUAGAGCCUAAAAACAUUAAGGAGAAUAAAGGUCGUUAUUGGCAAAUGACAAUAUUAUU